rnacentral:pre_miRNA from 10 species
GGUUUAUGUACUCCUGUGCCUACUGUACUGGAAUCAGUGUGACCAUGAAACUGGCUCAGUCCAGCAGGGACAGCAGU